rnacentral:lncRNA from 13 species
AUUAGAGUUCUAAGAUUUAGCUCUUCUUGGAUUUUAUGUCAUCUUCCUGUUCCUUCAUUUUACUAAUUGUUAUAUUAGACCGAGCAUAGAAAGUCAACACCAAGGCAAAAGUAUGCCAAAUUGCAGGGUUUAUUGCCAGCGACCACAGAGGACUCACGUCUCUCCAUCCCUUGGCUGAGAAAGAAGGGUGACAAGACUUUUUUAUACCCAUAAAACUGUGAUAUACCUGGCUUAUAGGUUAGAACCUGUGCAAUGCCAUUUUAUAAAGAGACAAAACUAUUUCCAUUCUCCUCACAAGGACUGCUAACCUUGGCCUCUGUAAACUGCUAAGUUUACUUUGCAAAAUGCGAAGAGAGGUAAAGCUGCAUACCUUCUCUUAUCUGUAACUGCCAGAAUUGCUGGCCUCUGUUUACCAGUACUGACCAGAGUAAGCAUCCCCAGAUAAUUUCAUCCUGGCGCCAAGCAACUAAAAAAAUCUGUGGACCCCACACCUGCCCAAAUAAUGUAUAAACUAAUGUUUAUCUUAACUUCUGUAAACCUCUUAAGUGGCAAUCGGAAUGACAAAAGUCCCCUGGCCCUUGGAAUGUCCGGAGCCCCCCUCAACCUCCUCUCUGCCCAGGAGGUGAUUUACAACCUUUCAUCCCCAUCUCCACUCUUCACCCCCACUCCCAAGGUGGUUUUCUGGGUAUAAAAAGGUCUUGUCAUUCUUCUUUCUCUGCCAUGGGUUGGAGAGGUGUGAGUCCUCCAUGGUCACUGGCAAUAAACCCUGCAAUUUGGCAUACUUUUGUCUUGGUGUUGACUUUCUAUGCUUGGUCCGAUACAACAUUUGGAGGUUUCACCGAGAUCUUUUAUUUUUCAUCACCAGACAAAAGCCAUUUCAGAGUCUCACUCGGGUGUCUGCUCCCUCCUUGGAAGCCUCUAGGGGAGGCACCCCCUGAGCUGUCUCAGGGCCCCGGAAUGCCACUGCAGAAGAGCGCCCACCCGGCCGACAUUCACCCAAAAUUCUUCAGGGUCCUUAAAACCUCCGGAGGGGCGUCCUAACAUCUAGAAAACUGCAACUGGGGAGGACUCAAGAUGGCGCUGUGAGAACAACCCAGGAAUGGAGCUCGCGUUGUGUCCGCGGAAAGGUGAGUCUGAGCUGCAUUUCCAGACUGAUCUUUGUUGCCCACGGAAUGGGGAAAUUCCCAAGUGAAGAGGAGACACGGGACGCCAGGCAGAACCUCCGCCUGGUGAAGCCGGCAGCUGGGGUGGUGGCGGCCGGCCCUACCCAGCACUCCCCACAGGGCGCGCUUGUCUGGGUGCCCCGUUGAACCGGCAACAGGAGACGUGAGAGGGCUGGACUUGAGACUGAGCUAGACUUGGACAGUGGGCCAGCCAGGGGAUCGCAGGGACAGAGCGUUAGGGUUGGCCCAGUGGGACGAACAAAACCGCGAUUUCAAACAAGCCCCGGGCAGACAGCCCGAGACGCUCUGAGGGGGAGGGGCAUCCACCAUUACCGAGGCAACCCGCCCCAACUGAGAUACACGCCCAUUGCUGACGCAGCCUGCCGUUGCCGAGGCAACCCAUCCCUACUGAGAUACACGCCCACUGCUGACGCAGCCUGCCGUUGCCGAGGCAACCCGCUACAACAGAGAGACUCCACCGCAGGGUGUGGCGGAGACCACAGCAGAGCCUGCAGGAACAGGGCGAAUCACACAACAGCAGGGCAGAGCCUCAGCAGCCAAACAGUAGCUGUUUGCGUCCUAGCUGGGCAGGGCCUCAAUGGACAUCCAAAAAUAAAGCCCAAACCCCUCAACA